rnacentral:rRNA from 1 species
UACGAAGGGGGCUAGCGUUGCUCGGAAUCACUGGGCGUAAAGCGCACGUAGGCGGUACGGUAAGUAAGGUGUGAAAGCCCCAGGCUUAACCUGGGGAGGUCAUCUUCGACUGCCGCACUCGAGUCGUGCAGAGGGUGGUGGAAUUGCCGGUGUAGUGGUGAAAUGCGUAGAGAUCGGCAGGAACACCAAGGGCGAAAGCAGCCACCUGGGCACGUACUGACGCUGAGGUGCGAAAGCGUGGGGAGCGAACCGG